CCUACAGGUGGCAGCAGUGGGGAAUAUUGGACAAUGGGCGAAAGCCUGAUCCAGCCAUGCCGCGUGUGUGAAGAAGGCCUUCGGGUUGUAAAGCACUUUCAGUGGGGAAGAAAGCCUUGGGGCUAAUACCCUCGAGGAAGGACAUCACCCACAGAAGAAGCACCGGCUAACUCCGUGCCAGCAGCCGCGGUAAUACGGAGGGUGCGAGCGUUAAUCGGAAUUACUGGGCGUAAAGCGCGCGUAGGCGGUCUGAUAAGCCGGUUGUGAAAGCCCCGGGCUCAACCUGGGAACGGCAUCCGGAACUGUCAGGCUAGAGUGCAGGAGAGGAAGGUAGAAUUCCCGGUGUAGCGGUGAAAUGCGUAGAGAUCGGGAGGAAUACCAGUGGCGAAGGCGGCCUUCUGGACUGACACUGACGCUGAGGUGCGAAAGCGUGGGUAGCAAACAGGAUUAGAUACCCCAGUAGUC
rnacentral:rRNA from 1 species